CAGUUUGGCAAUAACAGUGGUACUUAACACCAUUCCACCAGGAACAACGCAAGUCUUGCUUGUUAGAAAAUUCAUUAAGGUCGCCAUUGCAGCGUUUCGACUCCCUGUGAUCGGGGUAUUCAGGUAGCAACGCGGCUUCUGAAUAAUUUGGAGCUUAAACUCAGGAUUCCACUCACCAACAGAUGAAGCUUGUCGAGAGUAUAAGGUAUGGUUAGUGGGAGAGGCAUCAAAAGGAACAAAAUUUAUUCCAUUGUCGCUAUUUCCACCAAAGAAGAUACUCAAAGAUUGAUAUUACCACUCCACUCCUGGAAUGAUUCUUCCAGAAGUAUUCCACAACGUCCACUCCUGUGAGAACUGGUUGCCCAGAAGAGCAAUCAGCGUGUGGCGAAUCGCAGGGAUUUUACACGCGCUCGAAGGAUGGUAAGUUGACGAGUGUGGCGGCCAAGUCUUCAAUGUUGAUAAAAUUUGGGAAGCAUCGCUUCGCCAUGGAUUUCUUCCACUCGAUUGAUUAAGAUUCUAACCUACUUGUUUUAUUAAACAAAUUAUAAUAUUGCAAUUAAAUUA